UGGCUCAGAACGAACGCUGGCGGCGUGCUUAACACAUGCAAGUCGAGCGAUGAAGCUGGAGCUUGCUCCGGUGGAUUAGUGGCGAACGGGUGAGUAACACGUGAGCAAUCUGCCCUCCACUCUGGGAUAACUGCGGGAAACUGUAGCUAAUACCGGAUACGAUCCCUGGGGGCAUCCCUGGGGAUGGAAAGAAUUUCGGUGAAGGAUGAGCUCGCGGCCUAUCAGCUAGUUGGUGAGGUAAUGGCUCGGCAAAAGCGACGACGGGUAGCCGGCCUGAGAGGGUGACCGGCCAC
rnacentral:rRNA from 1 species